UGCUUGCGGUUAAAGCUCGUAGUUGGAUUUCUGUCUAGGGUGGCCGGUGCCCACUAUGUGAGGCAUCUGGUUCAGUCUGGGCAUCCUCUUGGGGAUCGUUUCCGUGCUUGAUUGCAUGGGGCGGAAUUCAAGACUUUUACUUUGAGGAAAUUAGAGUGUUCACGGCAAGCUUUCGCUUUGAAUACAUUAGCAUGGAAUAAUAAUAUAGGGCGUAAGUUCUAUUUUGUUGGUUUCUAGAACAUACGCAAUGAUUAAUAGGGAUAAUUGGGGGCACUCGUAUUAACACGUCAGAGGUGGAAUUCUUAGAUUGUGUUACGACGAACUACUGCGAAAGCAUUUGCCAAGGAUGUUUUCAUUGAUCAAGAACGAAAGUAUGGGGAUCGAAGACGAUUAGAUACCGUCGUAGUCUAUACCAUAAACUAUGCCAACUAGAGAUUGGAGGUCGUUUUUUUUAUGACUCCUUCAGCACCUUAUGAGAAAUCAAAGUCUUUGGGUUCCGGGGGGAGUAUGGUCGCAAGAUUGAAACUUAAAGGAAUUGACGGAAGGGCACCACCAGGAGUGGAGCCUGCGGCUUAAUUUGACUCAACACGGGGAAACUCACCAGGUCCGGACAUAGUAAGGAUUGACAGAUUGACAGCUCUUUCUUGAUUCUAUGGGUGGUGGUGCAUGGCCGUUCUUAGUUGGUGGAGUGAUUUGUCUGGUUGAUUCCGUUAACGAACGAGAUCUCCGCCUGCUAAAUAGUUCAGUGGACCCAUCGGGUUUUCGAGUAACUUCUUAGAGGGACACUCGGCGUUUAGUCGAGGGAAGUUGGAGGCAAUAACAGGUCUGUGA
rnacentral:rRNA from 1 species